CAACUUUAAAUCUUCCUUCUAUCCAUUUUGUUUUGUUCAGAUAGAUCUUUAUUCAUCCUCGAUAGAAGCUCAUUGAUUUAGACACUUUGACAACAUCCAUAUUUUCAGAGUUAAAACCUAAAAAUAAACAAGGAUCAAUCUGUAAUAAGAGAAACUAGUUUAAAGGCACAAUAAUCAAAGUAGUAACGUCAAAAAUCAAUGAUUUUUAUAUCGAUUGUUUGGUCGAUUUGUGUUGGAGAGACAAUGUAUGAAACAGACACAGAAACGUGUAAACGUUUUAUUUGAUAAAAGUUAGGACUUCAGUUUAGCAGGCUUCAGAAAGAUCGAAUGUGAUUAAUGAUUUAUAAAUAAACAACAACAACACGCCAACGUUCUGAUUAACGCCCUCAUUGUUUGUUCUUAAAAGAGACAAUACGUUUCUAUUGAGAGACAGACAGAAAGACAGAAUGAGAGAGACAGAGACAAAGAAAGAGCAAGACAGCUUGUCAGACCACCAGGUUGGUACACGUCAUCUCGUCAGUAUUCAACACUUCUGUUUAGAAAGUAAAAUCGAAACAUCAACUAAGGUUUAGAAGAAAUAAAUAUGGGUUUUAGUUUAAAAGAAGAAACACGGGGAUGCUGCAAUGCCUUAAAGGGUUCGGAACACGACAGACGGGCGGUUCUGAUUGGCCGGCUGCUCAGGUGAGAGACAGCAUGCGUUGUUUCAGAGGUCCUGAGCCCUCUAAACUUGAGCUUGUUCUCUGAAGUCCAAACAUCAAGAACCUGAGGAUCCUGUAGGUAGGAGAACCGGGUAGAACCCAGAACCUGCAGCUGGUGGUGCGGUCUAUAGAUUAGCUCGAGUCUGGAUCUUGUAGGUGAGCCCUGAUGGUGGGUAAGAUAACAAGGCACUGUUGGGUUAUCUGGUUCUGGGAGUAGAUCGGCCUGCAGGCUGGAGGUCAAGCAACGUCAGCGAGCAACGGCAGUAGAAGGAGGAGGGGAGCAGACAGCUGUUUCUAUGGCAACGAGAAGAAAGAGACGGAUUAAAUGUGAGACAAAAACAUAAGGUUUGAACCUUCUUAAUACUAAAAACAUCAUUACCUGAGGAUUCACCUGUUAGGCCUCGCUGGCGCUGCUGUUCCUGUUGAGCUCUCUGAUGCCGUGAAGGAUUCUCUUUAUGUGACCGACCUUUGUCACCCCAAGUACCUUCAGGUCCCUCCUCUCCAGGUGGAUCAGUUCGGCCCCACGGACAUCGUGCCCCAUGAAGAUGUCUUGAUACUCGUUGAGAGAGAGAAAGCCCAGCCACGCCCCCACCUCCUCCGUCCCCCACUGGUGGACUGAGAGACCAACAGGAAGUGGGUCAGGUAAACAGGAAGUGGGUCCGGUAGACAUAGGGUAUGUCUCAAUUCCUCGGCUGUCCCGUUCCAUCGGCUCCGGAGCCGGUUUGGAGGACACAUCUGGUCUCUCCUUUGCAGCCCAGCAUAUCCCAGCAUGCAGUGUGGUCCGACGAGGAUUUCAUUUAUUCAGGCGGGUGAUCCAGCAGCACAGAGUUCACUUUUAAAUGUUACGUAACCAGUGUCGAGUUUUAAAUACACAUAAGACGCAAGAACAAAGUGGUCUUAGUUAUAACGUAACUCCGUCCUGCCCUCCCCUCCCCUCCCCCUCC
ensembl:lncRNA